GGAUGGUUGUCCGAGCGGCCGAAGGAGCCGGUCUUGAAAACCGGUGCGCGGUGACCCCGUGCCGCGGGUUCGAAUCCCGCACCAUCCG
rnacentral:tRNA from 2 species